AUUGAACGCUGGCGGCAGGCCUAACACAUGCAAGUCGAGCGGAGCGGCGGAAGGGUGAGUAAUGCAUAGGAAUCAGCCUGGUAGUGGGGGAUAACGUCAGGAAACGGGCGCUAAUACCACAUCCUAUACGAUGAGCAUAGGUCGGAUUAGCUAGUUGGUGGGGUAAAGGCCUACCACGGCGACGAUCCGUAACUGGUCUGAGAGGAUGAUCAGUCACACUGGAACUGAGACACGGUCCAGACUCCUACGGGAGGCAGCAGUGGGGAAUAUUGGACAAUGGGCGAAAGCCUGAUCCAGCCAUGCCGCGUGUAUGAAGAAGGUCUUCGGAUUGUAAAGUACUUUAAGCUGGGAGGCGUUACCAACAGAAGAAGCACCGGCUAACUUCGUGCCAGCAGCCGCGGUAAUUC
rnacentral:rRNA from 1 species